rnacentral:misc_RNA from 1 species
GUGCGAUAAGUAAUGUGAAUUGCAAAUUCUGUGAAUCAUCGAAUCUUUGAACGCAAAUUGCACUCUUUUCGGAGAGUAUGCCUGUUUGAGGGUCAGUAUAUAUUAAAAAUCGGUAUGUUGCUUUUUUUGUGACGUUUCCGGAGUUUGAGUUAUCUUAAUUUUUUAGUUAAGAGGCUUAAAAUUGACAUCUUUUUUGCGCAUUUUUAGACGUACAUAAAUUAUUUUAUUCGUUUAUUCUAAUGGCAAAAUCUAUUAGAUGCGACCAUAUCAUGUGGUUUCGUGUCCAUAAAUUUCAUGAUUUGACCUCAAAUCAGGUAGGAACACCCGCUGAACUUAA